rnacentral:rRNA from 1 species
CCUACUGGAGGCAGCAGUGGGGAAUAUUGCACAAUGGGGGGAACCCUGAUGCAGCGACGCCGCGUGAGUGAAGAAGUAUUUCGGUAUGUAAAGCUCUAUCAGCAGGGAAGAAAAUGACGUUACCUGACUAAGAAGCCCCGGCUAACUCCGUGCCAGCAGCCGCGGGAAUACGUAGGGGGCAAUCGUUAUCCGGAUUUACUGGGUGUAAAGGGAGCGGAGACGGAUAUGCCAGUCUGAAGUGAAAGCCAAAGGCUACACCAUGGGAGUGCUUUGGAAGCUGUAAAACUGGAGUGCAGGAGAGGUAAGCGGAAUGCCUAGUGGAGCGGUGAAAUGCGGAGAUAUUAGGAGGAACACCAGUGGCGAAGGCGGCUGACUGGACUGUAACUGACGUUGAGGCUCGAAGGCGUGGGGAGCAAACAGGAUUAGAUACCCGUGUAGUC